AAUAAAUGAAACAAGAUCGGUAAAAUCUUUAUUACUUCGAAACCGUCGAACAGGCUUUAUCAAAUCCUUGAUCAUAAAUUAAAAAGUAAGUUUCCUCGUGGCGGGGAUUCCGAGACGGGCCAACGGUGUGCUCAAGAGACAUCAAAGAGAGACGAGGUUAUCGCGGCCGGCCGAUGACGUUAAAAGUUCUGGUUCGCGGGAGAUCAAGUCGCCCGAGGCGAUGUUUCCAUCGGAGGGAAGCCCUUCCCGUCGUUCCCGGGGGCCGUGAUUAAAAUUAUUGCCCUACCCAAAGUCAACACGCCGUACAAACAAAGGAUAAACACAUUCGCGGGCACCGGUACACGAGAAGUGGCACGAUUAGCAUCGCAAAAUAUUUCUCGUCUGUUCCGUCGAGUGUCGCUGUUGUCGUUCAUAGCGCGCGCGCGAGAAGCAGGCAUACUUUUUACAUUGCUUUCCUCCUCUUUGUGAUCUCUUAAAGCAAUGGAGGAACAAAAGGUAAAAGAAGACAAGGAAAGAGAAAUGAGGCAGGAGAGCAGAAACUAUAGAAGAAAAAGUAAAGAGCUUUGGUAGAAAGUUGCCUCGGGCGAGCUUUUUAGUUAUGGACAAGUUGCACGACUGGUGAUGAGCAAAAGAGGCAAUUUGUUGGAAGACAAGCGCUUUCGUUGUGAUACAUUUAGGAUUUGUCGUGAGCUUGAUCCUAAUGCUCUGUCCUUUUCUCGCUUGGUUUACCUUGUCUUCUCUCGUGGAGAAAGUGGUGGGGGAAGUGCUUCUUGCCUCUAUUCCUUUCCACUGUAUCCCCCUCUCUUUACCGUCACCCUACUAUGUUCUCUUUCUCUUUUGCCCCGAAGGUUUUUGCUCGUGAGCGACAAUCGGUGUUAAAAUGCGUGAAUGCACUCCAAGCACGCACGCCUGCUUCUACACGAGCACGCGGCAGAGACCUCUCGAAAACAAACAGCGGUUUCUCGUCCCGUAGCCAACGUGACUUAAUUAAUGAAAGCGCGCGAGAAGCGUCGACAAAGUCGUCUUUGUCGAGAAGUUCACGGGACUGGGUCAAUAAAGACGCGGGACCGCUGAUCGAUCAUUUCGAUUAGUCAUACUCUUCAAUCGAUCGAUUCGCUUCGACCUACCGAUCGAGUUCGCGAAGGAAUCUAUUACGAAUCUGAAGUUCGAUUGAGACCGGAGUUCACGAUUAGAGAAGUUGACAGUGAUUUGUCGGACGAGUCGAUUACAUUCCUAGUGAAUUGAUUCGCGAGUUAUAUGUCGAACUAUGCUAACUCGGAAGGAUGACUAAGUUAUUUUUUGCUCUGGAAUGAAUUGAAUGUGGGACUCACUGUUCUCAUAUAUGGAUAUUGCAUACGUGGAACAUAGAUUUUUUAGAAAAAGAUACUUUUUAAUAU